UACCAGCACCCCGAGUGGUCGGGACGAUUAUUGGGCCUAAAGCAUCCGUAGCCGGUUCUACAAGUCUUCCGUUAAAUCCACCUGCUUAACAGAUGGGCUGCGGAAGAUACUAUAGAGCUAGGAGGCGGGAGAGGCAAGCGGUACUCGAUGGGUAGGGGUAAAAUCCGUUGAUCCAUUGAAGACCACCAGUGGCGAAGGCGGCUUGCCAGAACGCGCUCGACGGUGAGGGAUGAAAGCUGGGGGAGCAAACCUG
rnacentral:rRNA from 1 species